GACCCUGUCCUCUGCUCCCGGAGGAGGCCUGCCUCCCAACCUUGAAAGGCGAGCGCGGGAGCCCGGCUGGUGGGAAGGUCCAACACAGUCCCGCCCCUCCUCGGCCUUCCUCAGCUGUCCCCGCCCCCCCCCCCCCCAGACACUACCGCCACCCCGCCUGGGUCAAGAUCUCCUCUCGGCCUACCCCAGCCCUCUUGGGUGAGGCGCCCCCUCCCCAGGCUCGCCUUUCCCCGCCUCAGCGCCUCCCUAAUCCUGUUCUGCCCUGCCAACCUCAACUUGGGGCUGGCCGGCCUCGGGGCCCCCAAGCUGGCAUUCCAGGGCGGGUGCGUCCGGGUGCGACCGGGGACGGCGUGGGAGCGGUUUGCGUUCCAAGUCCGAGCCUUUAUCAGCAGGCGACCUGGGCCCAGGCACUUUUUGAAAAUACUAACAACUACUACCGACUGGACUCUCGCCAGGGGCCGGGCUCUAUGCCAAGCCCUGUUAAAAGGACUGGCCCUUAAAUUCUCACAACCCUCUGCGAUGGUAGCUUGUUGCUCCAUUUUACCGACGGACGACCUGAGGUUUAGAGAAAGGAAGUCGUGGCCUCCGAGUCUCACGCUGGAGGUGAGCAGGAUCCGGCUGCAAGCCCUGAAUCACAAGCCUGAUACUGCCCCAGCUUGCCUGGACUGGCCCCUGGAGAAGUGGCCUUGGCCAGCCAGCUGUUGGGGCUGUGUUCAGCAGGCUGCCUGAGGUGAGGGAGGAGGCGUGGGUUGAUGAGGCGGGUAGCAGGAGGGGCUGCUGGCCUGAGCCCCAGAAGCUGGUUUUCUCCCUUAAGAAGUGACUCAGAAUUAAGAAGGGCUGCAAAGAUCUCCAGAUGGCUGUGGUGCCCUGACCUGCAUCCCAGCCCUCUGCACUCCCAGACCCCAGGGGCCAGCCUCGGGCAGGUUUCCUACUUAUGACCGGGACCAUUCACCUGGCAGCUGACAAAGCUCUUUAACUCCCAUUAUCUCAUUGGCAUCUCACAAGGACGCCAUUAUGGGGAAGGUAUGAUUAUGCCGGGUUUUGCAUGGGUGGAGUUAGGGUGGGGAGCUGGAUCCCAGCCCAGCACGGUGGUUCCCAAAGCAUGGUCCUUAGACCUCCAGCAAUAGCAGUGGUGUCUGGGAAUUUGUUAGCCAUGCGUGUUUGGGAGCCCCAUCCCAGGCCUACUGAAUGAGAAACUCUGGGAGAGGAGCCUAGCAGUUUGUUUUAACAAGGCCUCCAGGUGAUUUUGAAUCACAAGCAAGUUGGAGAAUCACCGUUGGGCACACUGGUGAAGAAAUUAGGGUGCUCUGAGAGUCACAAAGGCCUGGUAGCGUCCUGGGAGCCUUGCGACCCAAGGCAAGGUAAGGUCCUGAACUCUGGGAGAAACGUGUACAAGGGGAAUAGUGAUAAUAAUACCAGUCUUGAGGGUGGCUGCUGGGGAUUAAACGUGCUGGCGUUCACGAAAUGUUUGCCCACUCUUGGACACCGUGCAUGCUCAGUAAAUGUUCUCUUUCCAGUAAAAAGUCUCCUUUAUAGAAUCUCCACACCAAGUCAAGGGAUUGGGGCGAAAGAAUCUUUAGGGCCAACAGGGUCCCACUUUGUUGUCUUUGCCACAAAGGGACACCAUCAUUCCUGCGAGGGGCCAACAGCUUAACAGGUUCCCAGAUGAUGUCGACACAGCUGGUCCAGGGCUCACAUCUUCAGAACCACUGUGCUUUUCUGUCUUGGACUGGGCUCCUGGCCAACCCUUGAAAAUGGGCGUAAAACAUCCUCCUCUUCCACCCUGUUCCCCGUCCCCUCCCCUCAAGCUGGGGGUGUUUGUGAUGGUGAUUGGCAGUUGGCAAAACAGCUGGGAUCACAUCAGCCCCUCCCUCGCCUCCAGACAGACGUUCAAUCACCGGAGGCCCAUCUGCUACCCCUUUGGGUCUGUCACUCCAGAUUAGAGACAGGGGCAGCUGUGGCAACAUGGAGGCAGGCAGAUUUUCGAAUCUCUGCCAUACCCCCUACCCCCCUCUGCAGCCCCAUAGAUGAGGGCCUUCCUAUAGGAGCUCAGAGCCUAUUUGUCCUGUUAAGUGCCCUAAAUGCUAAAAAAUGCUUGAAUUAAAUGCUAAAGUAAAUGUUUUGUUAAAUGCUAAAAAUAUCAACAUGUUAAUGCUAAAAAUCGAGACCCACCUAGCUUACAUCUAAACAUGUAACAGACUAUAAAAUAAAAUAUGUUUAUUCUCCUACCUUGAGAACUAUUCUUCAUACUGACCAAGAAGGCCACGUUCAAGUUUAGAAUUCUUGGACUCCUUAGAAUUCUCUGCAGGAACAUGGCAGCGUGGGGCGGGUUUGGUCCUGACCCCUCAACCCUCAGCCCAAUCACUCGGAUUCUCUUCCCGGCCCCAUGUCUGUCCUGUGCACACAAGUAGCCUAGGACCCAGGGAUGUAAACACCUCAGCCCACAUGCCCAAAUUCAGCCACCACUUAGUCGCCCCUCCAGGAGUGCACAUGGGGGCAAGUUGUACCCUCAGAAGGAUGGGCCUUGGGAAGUGUUGGACCAUUUAGGCAGAGAUUUCUAGGGUUUUUAGAUACCUGAAGCAUGAUUUUGAAAGGCUGCGGGGUAUAGGUUUUGAGUAGACACGGGUGGCCCUGUUGCCUGGGUCUGUGAGUGGCCCUGCUGUUUGUCCUUGCCUCCGUAGCACUUAGCACGCUGCCUGGUACAUAUUAGAAGCGUAAGGAAUAGUCAUUAAGGAGAGGUGUGUCUGAAUUAUUGACUAAAAUAUCAAAUUGGCUUGGUUCUUCCCGUGUUUUUCCUCUCUUCCGGCAAGAGUCAGACUUUGUCAUGAUUUACCCUGGGCAUCUUGCAAAGGCAGCCUCUAGGGAGAGACGACUUCCUUCUUUUGUGAAAUUCUUCGGUCCAUUCCAGAGGUGAAGCCACGAGUUUGGGAGGUGGGAACAGGGGCAGGAAGAACUACUCUAGAAAGACAAGAGGAGGUAUCAAAUGGCCAACGUGGAGGUAGAUGGUGGCUUGGCAAGACCUUCAAAGGGUAUGUCUAUGGGGUUCCCAGCCUCUCAGAAGAUUCCCCCACCCCAGAGUUGGCACAGGAGCUUCAGAGGAGGAGGCCUGAAGGUCCUCGUGGUCAUUUAUUUAGCCCCCAAAUCUGCGAUUUGGGGUGGGUUCACUGGAGGGAAGGCUUGUCUCUGUUCUGUGCACUAUCAGCUGGUUCAGUUGGAAGUGGAGGACCCUUAACAAGAUGGCGCACUCACAUGGCUAGCCAGUUGGUGCUAGGUGCUAGCUGGAAACUCAGCUGGAGCUGUGGACCAAGGCCUCAGUUCCUCUCCAUGAGGCCCCUCUGCAGGCUGCUGGGGCUUCCUCACUGCAAGACAGCUGGGUUUCAAGCGCAAACAGAGAACAAGGUAGAAGCACGUGGCAUUUUAUGACCUAGCCUCGGAAGUCGUGUAGCAUCACUUCCUUUGUAUUCUAUCAGUGCACAAAGACACCAUGGUUCAAGGGAAUGAGAGACAUAGCCUCCCUCUGUCGAUGAGGGGGUGGCAAAGUUCUAGAAGAGAUUGCAGAACGGAAGAUACCGUCACAGCCAUCUUUGGAAAAUGCAACCUGCCCCAAGUGGGUCCUCAGAACAAGUGGAGAAAAAUUUCCUCUGCUGGGAACUGAGUGUCUGACUUAGCCGAUUUAAAAGGAAAAGGUAUAUGAUGUUCCUUGCACAGCCCUCCGUGCAAUCUGUGCACAAGAAUGAGACUAGGAAGUCCGGUGGACAAGGAGUCUGGUGCCCUUGGGUUAUUUAGGAUUUUCCUUCUUCAGAGAGUCCUCAGAAUAGAGUUAAGACCUCUCUCCUCACCACCUCUACUGUUUCUUUGAAGCUGUACGUUUCAAUACUACUCAUUUGAUCCGCUUCAUAAUGACCCCUAUGAGCUACAUACUAUCUAUUGUGAUGCCCAUUUCCAAGAUGUGCAAAUGGAGGCCCUGAGAAGGCAGCAGCUCAACCCUGUGGCAGGGGCCGGACACCCCAAACAGUCAUGGGUCCACACCCCAACAUCUGUUACUCUAUUUAUUUAUCGUCGAGACAUAUGUACUAUUUUGCUAGCCAAGCUGCAUCGUUUGAACGAGGCACAAAAACAAAAUUUAUAAAUAGGAGGCAAAAAUUGUGUAAAACUUUCAAUGUAUGCAAAAAUGAAAAUAAUUAUAAAGCA